rnacentral:rRNA from 1 species
AGUGGCGGACGGGUGAGUAGCGCGUAAGAAUCUAACUUCAGGACGGGGACAACAGUGGGAAACGACUGCUAAUACCCGAUGUGCCGCGAGGUGAAACCUAAUUGGCCUGAAGAAGAGCUUGCGUCUGAUUAGCUAGUUGGUGGGGUAAGAGCCUACCAAGGCGACGAUCAGUAGCUGGUCUGAGAGGAUGAGCAGCCACACUGGGACUGAGACACGGCCCAGACUCCUACGGGAGGCAGCAGUGGGGAAUUUUCCGCAAUGGGCGAAAGCCUGACGGAGCAACGCCGCGUGAGGGAGGAAGGUCUUUGGAUUGUAAACCUCUUUUCUCAAGGAAGAAGUUCUGACGGUACUUGAGGAAUCAGCCUCGGCUAACUCCGUGCCAGCAGCCGCGGUAAUACGGGGGAGGCAAGCGUUAUCCGGAAUUAUUGGGCGUAAAGCGUCCGCAGGUGGUCAGCCAAGUCUGCCGUCAAAUCAGGUUGCUUAACGACCUAAAGGCGGUGGAAACUGGCAGACUAGAGAGCAGUAGGGGUAGCAGGAAUUCCCAGUGUAGCGGUGAAAUGCGUAGAGAUUGGGAAGAACAUCGGUGGCGAAAGCGUGCUACUGGGCUGUAUCUGACACUCAGGGACGAAAGCUAGGGGAGCGAAAGGGAUUAGAUACCCCUGUAGUCCUAGCCGUAAACGAUGGAUACUAGGCGUGGCUU